AGCGAACGCUGGCGGCAGGCUUAACACAUGCAAGUCGAGCGGGCACUCUCGGGUGUCAGCGGCUGACGGGUGAGUAACGCGGGGGGACGUGCGCUCUGAUUCGGAAUAACUCUUUGGAACUUGAGCUAAUACCGGAGACGACCUUUUGGUGGAAGGCGUGCUGCCGGAGGAUGGGCCCGCGUCUGAUUGGCUGGGUGGUUGGGUAACCGGUCACCAAGGUGGCGAGUAGGAGCUGGUAUGAGAGGCUGAUCCGCCACGCCGGGGCUGAGACCCGGCCCAGAAUCCUACGGAAGGGAGGAGUGGGGAAUAUAGGGCGAUGGGGGCAAGCCUGAUCCAGCCAUGCCGGGUGAGUGAUGAAGGUGGUAGGGAUGUGCAGCUGUUUUAUACGGGGCGAUAAUGACGGUACCGGAGGAAUAAGCCCCGGCUAACUUCGUG
rnacentral:rRNA from 1 species